AUCUUUAGGGUUUUCUAUAUACAAUAUCUUGUCAUAUGCAAAUAUUGACAGUUCCCCUUCCUUUCUGGUUUAUUUAAAAAAUAUAUUUGUAUCUCAUGUCUCUGCUGUAUUCCCUCUAUGUAAUGCAAGACUCAGUAGCAGUACAGUGGCACUUUCUAAUUGCCACCCUAGCAGGAAGAGGUGCCUGGCAUUUGGAUCUCGUCUUGCCUCCCAGGACUUGCCAUUUACCUUGAACUCUUUAUUUGUUGUUGUUUUUGUUUGAUUGUUUUUCUUUAUACAUGACCACAUCUACCUAAAUUUAGAAAGAAGGAAAGACAAAUUGCUAGGAGGUGAGAGAAAUUGAUCAAGGUGAUUUGAGAUUUGAUAUCAUAAUAUUGUCAACAUUUGCCUGGUAGUAGUAAUGUAGAAUGCCAUUUUGUACUUGUUGAGAACAUUGUGCUUUUUUCCUCCCUCCAAAUCUUUGUGGGGGAAAAAGUUAGAGUUGUUUUUUAACUUCUUAAGAAAGAAAAUGAAAAUAAAACAUUAGGACAGCUACUGUAAAUGAACUGUUUAUACAUUCGUCACUAGAAAACUAUUUUUCAUUGAAUAGUAGCUUGAAAUUGUAAUUAUUAUAGUUUAUGAUAUUUAUAACCUACUGUGGUUUUGAAUAUUGCUCUUAACACUGUAGUUAGUGACCCACUAGAUUUUAAUUCCUAGGACAUACCCAUUCUUGCUUUCCUCAAAAUUGCAAUCAGUGACUACUUAAUGACAGCAAAAUGCUUGAAAACAAGCUUUUAAAGCGUAGCUGUUACUAAAAUACCAUAAUAACUACUAUGUAAGUGAUGGUUGCUUUUUUGCUGUAGAAACUUUGUGGUAAGAAGCUUCCACAAAAUCCUUAAGAAAAAUAUAGUAUAAAAAAGUAAUUGAUAAAUGGAAGAUAUAUUUUAAAGUGGAAUGUGGAUGAGAAGUAGACACAUGUAAAGGUUUGAUGUGGUUAUAUUUAUUUAAAUUUCUUGGGUUGUUUUUGGGCUUUGCAGAUCAGGUGGUUUUCUUUCUUGACAAAUGAAUUAUUUUUUAAAAUAUCAUUUGUAUACCUCUACAGUUUGCAAAGUAGUUUCUCUUUAAAAAAGUGGUAUACCAAAACCCAUUUAACUGCAAAAUAAAGUUUGCACAUUUGAGAUCUGCAGUGUCAGGAAACAAACUGUGUAUUCUAAUUUCUAAAUUACUAAGAUGUGCUUCCAGCUGUCUCUGUUCAUGUACAGCAAAGGCAGUCCCUGCAGAGCAUUUGUACUGUUGGUGUUUCACAGAGCAUUUGCCAUUGUUUAGUACCAUUUGUCUCUGCAUUUAUUCAUUAUUACCAUCUUCUGUGAUUUCUAGACCAGUGAGAGCAUCCAGCAAGCUUAGACUUCCAAGCAGGAGCCCAAGUAAGCAGUGGGAAAUGAAGCUGCUAUAAAAUUUUGUGGACAGUAUAUAUGCAACAUGCUUUUUAAAAAUUAUACAUAAUAAAUGGGAAACCAGGUCACACCUUAUUUUUUAUGAAGUCUUUUCUACAUCCAUCUUUCAAAAAUGUGCUUAUAACUUGGUGAUCAAAGUAGGCAUUUAAAAAUGGUGUGGUGUGGAAAUAAUUUUAACAUAACAGUUUAAAUAAUUAAACACUCAUAUUUAUUUCCAUUUUCUAUAAAUGAUAGGGAUUUUUUAAAGGCCUAUUAACAACUAAAUAUACUUUUGGUGAUUUCUCCUAAUGGAAGGAACUAUAUGAUUGAGAGACAUAUAUGAUACUAUAGUUUUUGUUUAUUCUCACCAACCUUUAUGCCCAAUUUUAGUUACCAGAUAAACUGUUUAGAGUUUGUUUUCCUUUGCUGACUACCUUACUGGUAACUUACUUUAGGGAGCAGGAACACGUUUAGUUAACAAUUUUUGGAAAUAGAAAAAGGGGUAGAGAAUGUAUGGCUUCUGAAAUCUAAAAGAGAGAGAAAUUCACUGUAGCUUAGGUAAUUGAAAGAGUUUUUGUAAAAUGUGUAAUUGAAAUGCUACCUUAAAAGGGGGCAUGUGUAUGGGCUGCCUCAAAACUUAACAUUGAAAUUAAAGAUAAGAUUUAAGUUAUCAAAUAUUUAUUGUACACUUACUAUAGAUAAGAAAAAAACCCACUUAGGGAGUCUUAAGAAUUUGGGAUGAGAUGAUUGUUGUAACUGAACAUUGGAUAUGGUUCUGAGAAUGUCCUCAUGUUUG